rnacentral:rRNA from 1 species
UUGCCUACGGGAGGCAGCAGUGAGGAAUAUUGGUCAAUGGCCGCAGGGCUGAACCAGCCAAGUCGCGUGAGGGAUGACGGUCCUAUGGAUUGUAAACCUCUUUUGUCAGGGAGCAAAGGGCGCCACGUGUGGCGUUUUGCGAGUACCUGAAGAAAAAGCAUCGGCUAACUCCGUGCCAGCAGCCGCGGUAAUACGGAGGAUGCGAGCGUUAUCCGGAUUUAUUGGGUUUAAAGGGUGCGUAGGCGGGCAUUUAAGCCGGCGGUCAAAUGUCGGGGCUCAACCCCGGCCUGCCGUCGGAACUGGGG